rnacentral:rRNA from 1 species
UACGAAGGGUGCAAGCGUUAAUCGGAAUUACUGGGCGUAAAGCGCGCGUAGGUGGUUCAGUAAGUUGGAAGUGAAAUCCCCGGGCUCAACCUGGGAACUGCUUUCAAAACUGCUGAGCUAGAGUACGGUAGAGGGUGGUGGAAUUUCCUGUGUAGCGGUGAAAUGCGUAGAUAUAGGAAGGAACACCAGUGGCGAAGGCGACCACCUGGACUGAUACUGACACUGAGGUGCGAAAGCGUGGGGAGCGAACCGG